rnacentral:rRNA from 1 species
GAUGAACGCUGGCGGCGUGCCUAAUACAUGCAAGUCGAGCGAACGAGGGAGGUGCUUGUUUCUAUGAGGUUAGCGGCGGACGGGUGAGUAACACGUGGAUAACCUACCUUUAAGACUGGGAUAACUUCUGGAAACCGAAGCUAAUACCGGAUGAUAACUUGAAACGCAAGGUUCAAAAUUGAAAGACGGUAUUGCUGUCACUUAAAAAUGGAUCCCGUUUGCAUUAGCUAGUUGGUAGGGAAACGGCUAACAAAGGCAAGGAAGAAUAGCGGACCGGAGAGGGGAUCCGCCCAAAUGGGACUGGGGAAACGCCCAAACUCCUAAGGGAGGCAGCCGUAGGGAAUCUUUGGGCAUGGACGAAAGUCUGAACGGGCAACGCCGCGUGAGUGAAGAAGGUUUUCGGAUCGUAAAAAUCUGUUGGUAGAGAAGAAAGUUGGGGAGAGUGGAAAGCGCACAAAGUGACGGUAACUAAUCAGAAAGGCACGGCUAACUACGUG